AGGGAUGCUAUCGGCAGCCGGUCCCCGGGGGGAGAGGGAUGAGGUCAGGAGCCGGUACUCGGGGGCGGGGGCGAGAGGGGAGGAUGCUGUCCGGAGCCGGUCCUUGGGGGGAGAGGGAUGCUGUCCGGAGCCGGUCCUUGGGGGGAGAGGGAUGCUGUCCGGAGCCGGUCCUUGGGGGGAGAGGGAUGCUGUCCGGAGCCGGUCCCGGGGGGAGAGGGAUGCUGUCCGGAGCCGGUCCUUGGGGGGGAGAGGGAUGCUGUCCGGAGCCGGUCCUUGGGGGGAGAGGGAUGCUGUCCGGAGCCGGUCCCUGGGAGAGGGGGAUAUCCCGGAGCCGGUCCUGGAGCCCUGCCCUACCCAGCCCAGCUCUACCCAGCCCUGUCCUGUCCAGCUCUGCCAGCCCAGUCCAGCCAUGCCCUGCCCAGUCCAGCCCGACCCAGCCCAGCUUUCAGCUCCUGAGAGCUGCCAGGCGGCAAGAAACGGGAAGGGAAGCCAACUGGAGUCGAGGGGCACUAGGUUCCUGAGCUCUGGUGGAGGUGGAAUUUAGGUCACCGGACACCAUGUGUGCCUAAGUGUCUCCAGGGUUACGUAUGUACGUGCGAUGUCCGAUGUAGACUGGUUAGGAGCUCCGCAAGCAGGUAUGGGGUUGCGCAGACCUGGUAAAGGGGUCUCUGGUGGGUGUGCAGGGGGAGAGGAUUCUGGGGUGUGGUGUUGGAGGAGGGUGUUGCCACACAUCAGAUGGAGAGGUAUAAUAAUUGUGGUAUUUGUUAAGCGCUCACUGUGUGCCAGGCACUGUACUCAGCACCGGAACGGAUACAAGAAAAUCGGGUUGGACACAAUCCCUGUCCCACAUGGGGCUCACCAGUCUCAAUUCCCAUUUCACAGAUGAGGGAAAUGAGGCCCAGAGAAGUGAGGCCUAAGGUCACACGGCAGACAGGUGACAGGGCCGGGAUUAGAACCCGUGACUUUCUGACUCCCAGGCCCAUGCUCUAUAUACUUUUGGGGUGAGUUUGCUGGCUCCUGGGUCAGGUAUAUUUUGUGUGUGUGUGUGUGUGUGUGUGUGUGUGUGUGUGUCUGUGUGUGUGAGAGAGAGAAAGAGAGAGAGAGAGUGAGAAUGCUCUAGGAGUGCAAGUGUGUAUAUAUAUGUGAAGCCUUCCAAGAAUGGAAGCUUCAUUUCAUUAUUUUUAAUAAUUAAUCAUGAUUAAUAAUAAUUCUGGCAUCUGUUAAGCACUUACUAUGUCCUAGGCACUGUUCUAGGCUCUGAGGUGGAUACAAGUUAAUCUGGUUGGACAGAGUCCCUGUCCCAUAUAGAGCUCAAAAUCUUAAUCCCCGUUUUACGGAUAAGGGAACUGAGGCGCAGAAAAGUGAAGUGACUUGCCCAAGUUCACAAAGCAGACAAGUGGCAGAGCCGGGAUUAGAACCCAGGUCCUUCUGAUUCCCGGGCCCGUGCUCUAGUCACUAGGUCACACUGUUUCUCGGGUCUUUGUUCUCCGAAGCUCUAGCUCUGGGGUUGCUUUGGCAGGUGAAGUUACAACCUGAUGCCGGUAAACCUGUGCAGCCUCUCGCUGGUCUCAACCUUCUAACCCCCACUUUUUUUCUGGGCCUGGCCCCCAGUCUCCUCCCAUCUGCAGGGGGGUCCAGCUACCAGCUCCUCUCCCACCUGCCCCUUCCAGGGGUCCCGGGCUUGGCCUGGAUCCUGGGUCCCUCCCUAUUUUGUCAAUCUCCUUCCCACUCCACCGGCCUGGACUGAGUCUGCUGAGUGGGACUCUUUGGGACUAUUCUCCCUCUUUUUUGGGGGGCGGUGGUUGGGCUUUCUCAAACCCCCCUCUUCCUUCCCUCUCCCCAACCCCGACUUUGAACGUGUGACGGGGAGUGCGGAUUGUGUACGCUCUCCUUUCUCUUGUUCAUUGUGCGUGUCAUUGGCCCUGGAUGUGCUGUGUCUUGAUUCUCUCAAGCCUCUUUCGCGCCCCGGAUCGGUGUGUGUCAAAUCUACCACCGUUCCUCUUCCCCUCUCUGAUUGCGUUUUUGUGGGCCACCCCUCUGGUCUUGGUUGCUGAACCUUGUCUUUCUCUCUCUAAAUUUUCCUUUCCCCUUCCUCAUUCUCCACCUCUAUGGCCAAUGCUGUCCUUUCCCUUAUUCUGAACCCGCCUAUUUACUGGGUCACUUCCUUACUCUUUGUCUUUAUGUGUCUAUUUUUUUCUCCCAGUGCAUAGACUUGUAGUUGUCUAUUAGGUGUGUUGCAGCCUCUUGUGCAUGCCUUUGUGUGUGUGUGUCCUCUUCUUUGUGUCUCCGAGCCCCCCUCCCACCUCCCCGCUGCUUCUUUUAGGAAUAUUUAUCGGCUCUGCUCUGUUCUCACCUGGUGCUUCCCACCCUGUCCCUUUUUCUCCCCCCACCACCCCUCUCUUUCUCUCUCCCUCUGCCUGUGUCCCCCUGCUGAAUGUCACCUUCCAGCUUUGCUUUUUGAAGGUUGCAAGCUCAUCUCUGGGUCUGUCAGCUGUUCUCAGUCAGCAUUUCAGUGCGUGCGUGCGUAGUUCUCAUGCUCUUAGCUUUAUACGGCUCGUCACCCUCCUUCCCCGCCUCUGCCUGGGUCUUCCUUGCUGCUCGUCUCUGUGGGCAUUUCGGCCCGUGCUUUCCAGCUCUGCUCAUCCCCCCUCUCCCCUCUUCCCUCUGUCGGCCUUCCUGUUCCUCCUCCGGGAUCUAGCUCCCUUUUGGCAUGUCAUUUAAGGUGGCUGGACCUAGGCCCUGCACCCUCUCCUGACAUGGAACUCCUUUAACCGCCGGCUUUCUUCCCGUCGUAAGCGUUCCUCGGACGCUCUCGUCCUCUUCCUUUCCUGUUGUGAGCGGGGAUAUUUGUCCCCCCAACUCCUGUCUGCGGAGCUGACUGGCUCCUGCCUGCUUCUCUUCCCCACCCAUCUCCCAUUUUCACUCCCCGCUUCCAUCCCUGCCAAACGUGCCAUUGGCUGGCACUCGCCAGGGCACCGAUAAUUCAGCCUGUCUCCUCCAGUCCUUUACCCAUGUCUGCUCCCCGGGCAUUUGCAUUUCUCAAAUUCCGGUUUUCUCUCCAUCUCUCUGCCCACCCCCCAUCUCUCCCACCACCGCCUCCCAGCUCUCCGAAGAGGCGCCUGGCAUUUCAGGGGCUUCGCUCCGUGUGUCACGGAGCCUUGGCACCUUACGUGAACUGGGACCGGGCAUCUCCCCAACAGGCAGCCCGGAUCGGGGACCGACACUAUCCAGACAUCGAUCUUGGACCUUUUGCCCCACCGAGCUUCCCUUUUGGAAGGUUGGAGGGCACCAGGUGGGGACGGCAGGUGUCCAAGGAAUUUGAGUUUGGCCUCUUAGAGCAGGCCUGGUGGAAGCAGAGUUUUGGGGCCUCACUGAGGAGGUGAGGACAUGUCUUCUCAUCCCUGAUUUCUUUGAGAAGCUGAGGAUUAAAUCGAUGUGACAGGCAGAGCCACCUAUUUGUUUCUCAUGACUGCAGCCUGAAGAGGCAGGGAAAAUCUGCCCGCCUUGGCAAAGGGGAGGUGUAUUUUUUAUUGAUUGUCCGCACUUUAAUUCCUUGUUCUCAAAACCGACUACUUAUUCUCUCCCUUCUCUUUGACCCCACCCCCGCCCCAGUGACGAGGACAGGUGGCUGCCUUCAAAGAUGGCCUGGUGGGCAGAGUAAGGGAAUCGAGGAUGAUCCAAGGGAGGGAGGAAAUAAGGGAAUGGUCAGAGGACGGUAGGAGAGACCUAGUCUAUUAUUUUUCGGGUACUCUUUCUGGGACUGUGAUUGCUUAUUGCACCCCACGUACCCUGGUCCUGCCUGCCUGCUGCCGCUGGGAUGAGGCUGAGAAGCAGCGUGGCUUAGUGGAUAGAGCACGGGCCUGAGAGACAAAAGGACGUAGGUUUUAAUGCCUGGCUCUGCCACUUGUCUGCUGUGUGGCCUUGGGCGAUUCACUUCACUUCUCUGUGCCUCAGUUAUCUCAUCUGUAAAAUGGGGAUUAAGACCGUGAGCCCCAGGUGGGACAGGCACUGUGUCCAACCCGAUUUGCUUGCAUCCACCCCAGCGCUUAGCACAGUCCCUGGCCUAUAGUAAGCACUUAAUAAAUAUCAUUAUUACUAUUAUUAUCUUUAUUACUCCAGUCCACCCUUUUCCUGCAGGGAGGCUUCUUCAAGAGGUGAUUUGGGUACCAACCUCCCACCUCCACCUCAGCACAUGCGAAUUGGCCAAGUAACGAUCUUUCCCUCUCCUUUUCCCACAGCUCCCCUCGUGCCCUCCGCCAGGACUUCGACCAG
rnacentral:lncRNA from 1 species